rnacentral:rRNA from 1 species
AUUGAACGCUGGCAGCAGGCUUAACACAUGCAAGUCGAGCGGAGUGAUGGUGCUUGCACUAUCACUUAGCGGCGGACGGGUGAGUAAUGCUUAGGAAUCUGCCUAUUAGUGGGGGACAACAUCUCGAAAGGGAUGCUAAUACCGCAUACGUCCUACGGGAAAAAGCAGGGGAUCACUUGUGACCUUGCGCUAAUAGAUGAGCCUAAGUCGGAUUAGCUAGUUGGUGGGGUAAAGGCCUACCAAGGCGACGAUCUGUAGCGGGUCUGAGAGGAUGAUCCGCCACACUGGGACUGAGACACGGCCCAGGCUCCUACGGGAGGCAGCAGUGGGGAAUAUUGGACAAUGGGGGGAACCCUGAUCCAGCCAUGCCGCGUGUGUGAAGAAGGCCUUAUGGUUGUAAAGCACUUUAAGCGAGGAGGAGGCUCUUUUGGUUAAUACCCAAGAUGAGUGGACGUUACUCGCAGAAUAAGCACCGGCUAACUCUGUGCCAGCCGCCGCAGUAA